rnacentral:rRNA from 1 species
UCGGGAAUUUUGGGCAAUGGGCGAAAGCCUGACCCAGCAACGCCGCGUGAAGGAUGAAGUAUUUCGGUAUGUAAACUUCGAAAGAAUAGGAAGAAUAAAUGACGGUACUAUUUAUAAGGUCCGGCUAACUACGUGCCAGCAGCCGCGGUAAUACGUAGGGACCAAGCGUUGUUCGGAUUUACUGGGCGUAAAGGGCGCGUAGGCGGCAUGACAAGUCACUUGUGAAAUCUCUGGGCUUAACCCAGAACGGCCAAGUGAUACUGUCGCGCUAGAGUGCAGAAGGGGCAAUCGGAAUUCUUGGUGUAGCGGUGAAAUGCGUAGAUAUCAAGAGGAACACCUGAGGUGAAGACGGGUUGCUGGGCUGACACUGACGCUGAGGCGCGAAAGCCAGGGGAGCAAACGGGAUUAGAUACCCACGUAUUCCCUGAGCGGGCUGGCAAGGCGCAU